AGUUCUUUAUUGAAAUUUCUAACUGUUGUUUUGCUCGUAGCCCUGAAUCAUUGUAUGUGUUUUUAUAGUUUUUCGGCAAUAAUUCCAUCUAUUGCUUGUGAUCUUGGUUUCAUGAUUGAGAGGUAGAUCUAUGCUUUACCUAUAGGGAGGCAGUCUUCACAUUAGUCUCGUAUGAAGCAUAUCUUUCAUUAUUUUUGCUUUUAAGUGAUGUCACUGGCUUUAUCUUUUAUCAUAUUUUAACAAUUUUAGCAAUCUAGUGUUCUCUUUUUGUUAGUUGAAUUGAUUUUCAUAUCUUUCUUUUGUGUCGUAAGUUGUAGAUUUUUAUGUUCUUAUGCAGAGGAUGCUUAUGUUACCUACUUUCCAAUAUCAUUUGAUGGUUACAAAAUCUAAGUCCCCUUAAUUGAGUAAAGGAAAGGAAAGUAGCAUACAUGCAUAUACAGGAGAAUGGACCAACUGUGCAUAUUUAUGCUGGUAGAAUCUAUUUUUUUCAAUUGGGUGAUUUAAUAUCUAAUGUUUCUCAUAUCCAACUCUGUAUGAAUAAUUGAAAUCUAGUUAACAUACUAGCAUUUAAUGUUUCUCAUAUCAAAUUCUAAAUCAAUAAUUGAAAUAUGAUAAAACAUGGCAAAGAACAUACAUGCAAGUUACAGCAAACAGAGUUACAACUUAUAUUUAGCCGUUCGAUUAACAGACUUUGGAACAUUUUUAAGAAACUUGAUAUUGGUUUCUUUGCACAAGAUGGAUAUGUUGAUCAAGAAUAAUGACUAUAAAGUAUGCAUGUUGCUUUUGUCUUUACUACAAGUGCUUCUUCUUCAAUAACUCUAUGCAGAGAUUAAGUAUGUCUUGAUUUAGUAAUUACUUCACGACUGUUUGCUGAAAUUUUGAGGUCAUGUUUUGCCAUGCAAAGUGAGUUCAUAUUUGUGUUGAGAAGAUGCCAACACAAACAUAAACACAGGUUGAGGUAGGAGCAAUACACCAUGGGAACAUCACAAGAUUACUGGUAGCUAUAGACUUUUUGAAGAUCAUUCUGGUAUCAUGAUCUUUAAUCUAUGUAAUUUUAUUUUAUUUUAUUUUUUUUAAUGGAUCAGAGAUGUUUUGAUAACAUUGAGUUGGUGAAAUUGGAAGCAUAGUUUGUACAUCUAUUUUUGAAA